AACGCGAAGAACCUUACCAGGGUUUGACAUCCUGCUAACGAAGUAGAGAUACAUCAGGUGCCCUUCGGGGAAAGCAGAGACAGGUGGUGCAUGGUUGUCGUCAGCUCGUGUCGUGAGAUGUUGGGUUGAGUCCCGCAACGAGCGCAACCCCUAUUGUUAGUUGCUACGCAAGAGCACUCUAGCGAGACUGCCGUUGACAAAACGGAGGAAGGUGGGGACGACGUCAAAUCAUCAUGCCCCUUAUAUCCUGGGCUACACACGUAAUACAAUGGCGGUCAACAGAGGGAAGCAAAGCCGCGAGGCAGAGCGAACCCCUAAAAGCCGUCUCAGUUCGGAUCGUAGGCUGCAACUCGCCUGCGUGAAGUCGGAAUCGCUAGUAAUCGCGGAUCAGCAUGCCGCGGUGAAUACGUUCCCGGGUCUUGUACACACGC
rnacentral:rRNA from 1 species